CGCUGGAGACAAAGUCGGAGUUGGCUAUAUGGCCGGCUCGUGCAGGUCAUGUGACAGCUGCAAUGAUGGCGACGAGAACUACUGUCCAAAGAUGAUCUUAACGUCCGGAGCCAAAAACUUUGACGAUACCAUGACCCAUGGUGGAUACUCCGACCACAUGGUGUGUGCUGAGGAUUUCAUCAUCCGUAUUCC
rnacentral:sRNA from 1 species